UGCGAUCGUUAGCGGAGAGUGAAUUUGUGCGACGACGAAAAGGGAAAAUGGGGCCAAAUAUCGUGACCUUGAUCUGCAUCUUUGUUUUAUUCGCAAAUUUUGUGUCGCAAGCUGCUGGCUCGUCAAUUCAGAAAAAAGCAAAUAAUGGAACAGACGGGAAUCACAAAAUUUGCAUAAAGGAAAAUUUUGAUCAUUGCAAAGUGUCUCCCGAUUUCAAUGAAACCAAUGAACUUGAAAACUGCAAAAAUCGUUGCUUAAAUGAUACUGAAAAUUUAUAUUACUGCUGCCAUCUUGAUGAUAACACAGAAAAACCACCGUAAGUAUCAACAAUAUUUUAUUGCUUCAUAUCACCACCCAAAAUAUGUGAUUUGCUUUUGAGCAUUUUCUUCAAACAGCUAUUAUGGACUCUCUGUGUUUUGCUCAGACAAAUUCGAAUAAUAAUAUUAAUUGGCCCUUAAUUUUUUACAGAAAUAAUUCACAAACAGCUCUAGUAAUCGUGGUUGUUUUAACCUCUGUGCUGAGUCUCAUCAUAUUAGCCUUCAACUUCAAAAUCGCGUUUAAGCUCAUCAUGAGGGCGAGGAACAAAGUUGCCAGUUUUAAUACACCGCUUUCUCUAAACGGGGACUAUACGCGCUUUGAUGUUGGAGGAAACAUUAUUGCUGAAUCUACUGAAUCUUCUUUUAACCGGCCGUUCACUGUCAGUGGUGGUCUCGUGAAAUGACAUAAAUGACUGUGAGCAAGUGACAAAUUAUAUUUUAAAUACGAUUUCCAAAACAUUAGAGUUUAGAGAUUAGGAUUGUGUUUAUCGUUUAUCCCAAGUGUUAUCAGAAUACAACCAAACUAAUGCUUUAGUUGUUUUUCCCUGGACUUAAUAAAAAGUCUUAAUCCGUUUUAAAAUAAUAAUGUUCAUUAUAUAAAAAUCGUAUCAUUUUGGUCAAUGUGCCUGAGUAAUUUAAGAAACUUUUGGUUUUAGUUAAAAUUAAUUUGGUGUUGCUAGUUCUUUAAGCUCUCAAUCUAAUUAUGCAAAAUUUCCUUCAUUUUGAACUAACCUACCAUUAUUCAAUUUUUUACUACACAAUUUUUGGUUAAAUUCGAAUUUCAAUUUUUUUCUAGGGGGAUAAAAGUAAAUUAUAAUCUUGAGUAAAUUAUAAUCUAUAAGUGAUCUUAACAUUCCACUACAAUAUUUUAAACUUCAUAUAAAAGUUCUUAAAAUACCCUUAUAAUUAAGACUUACGCCUGUCUGUUUAUCACAAUUAAAAUUAAGUUUUAUAAAUUUCUGUUGAUUAAUUUUGUGUCACCCUAAAAAAUGAUGGCUAAAAGUGAAAAUUUGAGAAAAUUUGAAUGCCAUGCCAUCCAUUCUGUGUAAAUCCAUGCAGAGAAGAGUCAUUAAUUUAUUUUUUAGUUUAUAAACAGUAAAUUUCUUUUGCAUUCUUUUUGUGUUCCCUAUCGUUUGAUUUUUGAUAAAAGAAAAUUGAUAUUUUGAUUGUUUUUCACAGAUUAAAAUCCAUCUUUUAGCGGAAGAUUAUUUUGGAAAAUGGCGAACGGUACUUCAACACAUGAGAAACCGCCUACGUAGUGAAAAAAUGAAAAAUAAUAUAGUCUAGCGCGGAAGCAAAAGCGUGAAAAAGUCGUAACAAAAAAGAGGAGACAAAACCAGCCGCUCCACUCAUUGUCAGUCCACUCUCAACGACAUUAUUAGUAUUUACCUUAAAGAUAAAAAUGAAGUUUUGGUGGCUGUACAGUUUGCUGUCAUUCGCAUGGAAUAGCAAAUAUACCGAGAUCCUGUUGACGAAAAGGACAAAUCUACAAAGAAAAAUGCAGCAAUCUUGCACUUGGGAAUUGGCGGAUUGAAGCCCAAAUCAACCCCAGUCUCUUCUCAAAUAAAUAUAGUCCUUAAUGUAAAAAAACUAUCUCAACACGCUCAACUCGUAAACGAAAGUAGUGAGAGUGCAACCAAUCAGCCGGACGCUGGAUGAGUGGUACAUCGACAAAAACGGCUCUCUGAAGGAAAUUAGAAACGUUCCUCAGGGCCUGUCGCUUGUCAAAGACUUCGUGCUGCCCGAUAUGCACGCCUCCCACACCACCGUCAUAUUCCUGGACGAAGGGGUGGUCACGGAUUGAGGUGCCCUGUUCGAAAUCCCGUUCCCAACUCUUAGCACACUGUCUCUAUGGCUGGCCGACCUGAGCGGCGUCCCCUUGAGAGGCUGGACACGCUUUUUGAGUCUGUCGAAGACGAACUCACCAAGAAAAUGCACUCGCACCUGCAGCUGCUGACUUAGGGCUUGAGCGAAUUAUUUCAGGGCCCACAUAUGAGCACAGAGGACGUUUCCUUGGCCGCAGCAAUCAGAGAAUGCUUGCUUAGAUUUGUGAUUAUUUACUUUGCAAUGGUAAUUUUCUUUCUGAUUUUACAGACUUGAUGUUAUGUGUGCAACGUCAUUGAAAUAAGUCUUGUGAUAUUUUGAAAGUUCUCAGCCUACAGUCUGAUAUAGGCGCAUUCAUUCAAUAAUCAAACGGAUAGUUUUCAAGCUCAAAUAACAUGAAAUGUACAUUAAUAUAUGAUUAUGUGAUAUUGAAAUGCUUCAGUUUUGUUUGAAUAGAGUUGAAACCAAAUAAAAUUGUUCAAUGCCUGCAUUCCUGCUUGAAAAUCCUUGUAAUUUUCAUAAAUAUUAUGAUGUCUUAACUUUAAUUUGCAUACAAGCUAUUUUUGGAAUCCAGUGUUAAUAUUAAAGCAAUAAUGAUGCGACUCUUUGAAUGAAAUGUCCGGAACUCAAUUCUCCGUGGAAUUUGCCAUACAGCUUGCAUUUCACUGUCACACACUGGACGCAUUUUUUAUCAUUUUGAGCCCAAAUAAAAGUGGUGCUAUAUGUGGAAUUCACUGCUUUUAAUACAAAAAAGCUGCAGAUGUGCAUUUUUAUUUAACUCCGUUUGGAUCAUGGAAAUAAUUCUCAAUAUACUACAUGAUACAUAACUACUCCAGAAAAUAUUCUCCUCGUGUACGCCUUUGAUGUUGUUAUUUUAAUUUUUAAUAGAAUUAAAUUAUACGUACACAAAUUUUUUAUAGUUUUCGCAAUAAUCAUGACUACAUGGCAGCGACGGCAGACAGAGUUUGCUGCUAUAGAAGCAGGGGGAUUAAAUAAUUAUUGUUGGUCUGACUCUGGCGAGAGAGGAAGAAUCUCCCACUCAGGCUCCGCUGCAUCGUUCAAUUUGAAUUACGUAGAAGAUUAGUUGCGCCCGGGAGAAGAACUAAAUCAUCCUUUGCUUCAAGCGCAGUCACUCAAUUGAGAGUUUCUUUUCUUCUGAUAAAGUGAAAAUGGAUAGCAGGCUCGCUUUGACGAUGGUUCUCUUGGCCAUGUGCGUUACUCUCGUUUUCAGCGGAUUCAUUCAGCAGAUGUAAAACGAUCGAGCCGUUCAGGCCAAAGGAUUCCGACUCCAACGAAAUUCUUUCCUGCCCCAACAAAAACAACAACGAUUUGGAACCAUUUGAUAAAAAUCACUUUUGCUGCCAGAAACCCGACGGAUUGGAAUAUUUCUGCUGCGAUUUAGAUACAUACCUCGAUCUCAGGAUGGCACCUUACAAUAAGACCAUUAUGAUCGCCGGUGCAAUAGUCCUCGUGAUGAUCUGUAUAGGCGCGGGUUUAUCUAUUUGGGACUGCUGUGAACAGACUAAUUACAACAAGAUUGGAGUUCUGUCCACAGCAGGGAGCGAAAAUUUAAAUGUUGCCUACCCCGAAAGUGUAGGAAAUGAGAUUGAAGUGACGCCAGUUUAAUAAUGGCCAAACUGAUUGCUUUGAUGCGUGAACAAAAUAGUGACGUGUGAACUUCCAUUGUGAAUUAUUCAUAAAGAGAUUUUCACCUAGAAAAAAUAUGAGAAUCAAGAUUUAUUAGCUCUUAAGAUUUGCGAGCGUUAAUUUUCGAUGUCUAGAGGGAAAAUUCAUUAGAGAGAUCACUUCAGAACCAAUAGAUUGUGAAAAUGUGGCGAUUUUUUCAAAUUUAAAAUAAGUGUUAAAGUGAUCCUGAUAAAUUUUUGGGAAUGUGUUCGUCUUUGGUCCAUUUAUGAACUUUGGGACUUUAACAUUUUAUCAUUUAUCCCUCUAUUUUUGCUAAUUAAUCAAAAACACAGACUUCAUAGCCAAUAUACUUAACAGAAAACAUGAUUUUUCAAGGAAAUAUAGACGGCGAAGUUGUUAGAAUGCUCUGCGUGGUUUCUAAAGUGUCUUUACUGUCUUUCAUCUCUAAUGUAUAUUACAUAUUAGCUGCUGUCAGGGUUGAACCCGACACUGCAAAACAGACUGAAAAGAGAUUAAGCUUUAGGUAUAAAGAACUAUAAAUGCAAGGAUAUUAAACAAAUAAAAUCAAUAAAAGACAGUUAAAAUACUAGCAAUAUGACUAAAUUUUAUUUCAUUAUUUUCAAAUAAAAAAUAUUCAAAUCUGUCUUUAAGGUUUAAGACAGAUUAAGUCAGAUUUAAGAUUAAGUCACUAAGCCAUUAGCCAUUACGUACUAAAUAAAAAAGCCACACCGCUGGGCCGAUAAAAACUUAUGUAGACACGGAAAUAUAAUUUAAGAGUAAUUUAAUUUGCUUGGACCAUCAAUUUCAUCGAUUUAAUUUAACACCUUUUAAGUGCUACGUAUCCGUGGGCAUUAACAAAUGAAAAAUAAACAUUAUUAAAAUUUUCAAAUUUGAAGCAUGCACAUCAUAUUUAAAUCUGUUACAAUAAAUCGAAAUAACUAUAUUGCUCAAACUUGUACUUCUCUGUAACCAAAAUCUAUUUUCAGGUAAAAAGCCGCACCUAAAAACAUUUUAAUAUUAUUCAUUGGUUAUAAUAAUGUGCAAUCAAUUUUCAAUUCAUCGUUGCACUAGCAGUAGAGUUGAAAGUUUCUUUGUGGAAGUAUCGGAUAUACAUGCGGACACUGGUACCAAAAUGAACUUCAAGCAUCUCCUUCUCUUAUUAGUGCAUUUUAACCUCGCCCUUGCCAGCCAGAAAUGCUUAUCAAAUUCGACCACAUUGCCGCAGAGGGUUUUCAACGCGUUUAGCGAUGAUAUUUCUUCGAGUAUUCAUUGUCCAGUGCGACCGGCCCUUUUAAAUUCAACAAUCAUAGCCUCGGUCGUGGACAAGAAAGAAAAUUUCUGCUGUCUGAAGCUCUCCACUUUUCACUAUAAAUGUUGUAAUCAGGCAGAUUCUGACACUAAUACGACAUGGGUAAUCGUUGUAGUGAUAGUGAUUUUUCUGGGCGUUGUGGCCUUUUUCGCCUCUAUAACCAAGUGUUUUCUCAUUAGACUGAUUUGGAAAAAAGAAGAGAGCAACUAGUUCGAUUUUCAAGCAAGGCGAGACCUGCAAAGUUAUUGCAAUGAAGAUAAAUUAUGGAUUUUUUUAACAAUAAAACAACAACCUUUGACUGAAAAUAUGUUGUGAAGAAAAAUGUAUGUGAUUUUUAAGUAAACCAACGUUUUACUACCUGCGUA